rnacentral:rRNA from 1 species
UACGUAGGGUGCGAGCGUUUGUCCGGAAUUAUUGGGCGUAAAGAGCUCGUAGGCGGUCUGUCGCGUCGGUCGUGAAAACUUGGGGCUUAACCCCGAGCUUGCGGUCGAUACGGGCAUGACUGGAGUUCGGCAGGGGAGACUGGAAUUCCUGGUGUAGCGGUGGAAUGCGCAGAUAUCAGGAAGAACACCGGUGGCGAAGGCGGCUCUCUGGGCCUUACCUGACGCUGAGGAGCGAAAGCGUGGGUAGCGAACAGG